rnacentral:lncRNA from 1 species
CAGCUUCUGCCAUGGCCUCAAAAGUUAAAAGUGCACCUCCAUCAUCAGAAACAUAACAAGCUAGCUUCUCUACUGGGUAAUCAGCAGCCAAAAUUGACAAGAUAGUGUUGGCAGUAACAAGAGGUGGUUCUUUCUCUGGAUCAGCAGUAGAGACAUAGACAUCAAUGCCUGGAAGGUCAGAUUUUCCAGUGGGGUUGUUGGGGGUAGGUGUUUCAAAUUUGUCCUUCAAGACGUUAAGAUCUGUCACACGGUUGAUUGGGCAGAGCUUGGGGAGUUGGUCAAGAAGCCAGGAAAAAGCGAACCAGAUUUCACAAACCACAGACAUCCCCC